rnacentral:rRNA from 1 species
AGAGUUUGAUCCUGGCUCAGGAUGAACGCUGGCGGCGUGCCUAAUACAUGCAAGUCGAACGGAGAGAGCAGCAAUGUGAUCUUAGUGGCGAACGGGUGAGUAACGCGUUGGUGACCUGCCCCAAAGAGAGGGAUAACAGUUCGAAAGGACUGCUAAUACCGCAUGUGGUUAUGGGAAUUAGAACCUCAUAACGAAAGGAGAAAUCCACUUUGGGAGGGGCCUGCGUCCCAUCAGCUAGUUGGUAGGGUAAAGGCCUACCAAGGCGACGACGGGUAGGGGACCUGAGAGGGUGGCCCCCCACAAUGGAACUGAAACACGGUCCAUACACCUACGGGUGGCAGCAGUAGGGAAUAUUGCAAAAUGGGCGAAAGCCUGAUGCAGCAACGCCGCGUGCGCGAUGAAGGCCUUCGGGUCGUAAAGCGCUUUUCGAGGGGAUGAGGAAGGACAGUACCCUCGGAAUAAGUCUCGGCUAACUACGUGCCAGCAGCCGCGGUAAAACGUAGGAGGCGAGCGUUAUCCGGAUUUACUGGGUGUAAAGCGCGUGCAGGCGGUUUAGCAAGUCGUGCGUGAAAGCGCCCGGCUCAACCGGGCGAGGUCGUGCGAAACUGCUUAACUUGAGGUAGGUAGAGGCGUGUGGAAUUCCGGGUGUAGUGGUGAAAUGCGUAGAGAUCCGGAGGAACACCAGUGGCGAAGGCGACACGCUGGGCCUGACCUGACGCUCAGACGCGAAAGCAUGGGUAGCGAACGGGAUUAGAAACCCCGGUAGUCCAUGCCGUAAACGAUGUGCACUAGGCGUAGGGGGGUCACACCCGCUGUGCCGAAGCUAACGCGAUAAGUUCACCGCCUGGGGACUACGGCCGCAAGGCUAAAACUCAAAGGAAUUGACGGGGGCCCGCACAAGCAGCGGAGCAUGUUGUUUAAUUCGACGCAACGCGAAGAACCUUACCUGGGCUUGACAUGACCGUGUAACUCCUGGAAACAGGAGCCCCUAGCAAUAGGCGCGGCCACAGGUGGUGCAUGGCUGUCGUCAGCUCGUGUCGUGAGAUGUUGGGUUAAGUC